CUGCUCUCCAGGAGAGGGCAGUGCAUUCCCAGGAUCGGUUGGCUCCCAUUGCUCUCUUAAUUCAAGAAGUUUAACUACAAACUCUGACGAAGACAGAAAGUUUCUUUGUCAUGGCACAACCAAGACCUCAAGAGGACCAUGUGAGGGAUAUUUCUGCAAAUGGCAGGUGAUGAGUCAGACUGCUUUUCUUCACUUACAGUCAUCCCUGUCCUCCCUCUACCUGUCUCUGCCAGGAGUCAAGAGCUGUAAUGGGGUGAUCCUUUUCUACAGCCUCUCUUCCUGAUUGGUUAACAGAAAAAAAAAAAAAAAAGGCAGAACGUGGUGUGCAGUCAUGUUAUUCAAGCACUAGAAAAGGAAGGACAAGGCACAGUGCAUUCCUCUCAGCUCUUACAUUCUAGAUGGAGGAGAGAGCAUCUAUCACCUGAGUAAUAAUCUCAGAACUGAACUACAAAGACUAACAGAGAAUUUUUUAUUUGCUUAGAGUCAAGCAGAAAUUUGAAAUACAGUCAUAAACAAUAAAACGGGAGAUCAGUGAAUAUACUGACAGGACCAAAGAAUCAGAAAACCAAACUUCUAAGAGCAAUGUACUUUCUACAGGCUUGCAGUAAGGAUAGAAAAAGAUAAGCAGUCAGUGGGUUAGAAUGAAGAACUUGCUACAGAGCUGAAGGACAGAGGAAUUCAUUGAGAGGGAAGGGUACUGGCUGUUUAUAUUAGGGAGGUAGUAUUACAUUAGGAAUAUGUAACAGUUCACUGUGUUAGCUGGAAAUUGAAACUAGACCUUUCCUAAAUUAUUUUUAGUGCAUUUGCUAUUUCACCAUCUACCCACGUUACAGUUAAAUCCACUUUCUACAAGUUCCUUCAGAGUCUGAGACAAGUGCUAAAGAUCAGUGUGUUUGGUAGGCAGGGGGAUGCAUCCUCCAAGGGGCUAACAAUGACCAUACCACAGUCUGUGUUCCCUCCUGCUGUCAGUAGUGCAAUGUAUUCUCUAGGUGGACAAUCAUAAACAAUUAGGCACAUAAAUAUAUCUGCAUAACCAAGACUAAGUUUGAGAACCUUUUCUAUUGCAGUACUCAAAGGGAACAUGAGCCACAUUGUUCUUUUUCAGAUAAUUUUAUACCUUCCUCUUCCCCUUCAUUGCAAAUUUUGCUCCUGUGAACUUGAGGAAGGGCAGGGGUUUCUGUUUGUCUCUCAUUUUAUUAAGCUGUGGUUGCGCCUUGUGACAUCUCCCUUGCCCUGGCACACUCCCCAGUCCUAAGUCAUCUGCCACUUUUGCCAGGUCUUUAGUGCAACCUGCCACAGUGCCAGGAUCAUACUUUCUCUUGCUGACUCAGAAGUGCACACAAAAGACUGCCUUCACCUCAGCAACUACAUCUACAACCCAUCUCAGAGGGUGAUCUGCAUCCAUGCCCAGAGGUGGAUGCACUACUGACUCCCUGGGUAAAUACAUAUAGUCUUGUCCUCGUCCCCUGCUCAUCCCAAUGCUGCAAUGUUCUUGCAGUAGUCCUAGUCCUUCCAGUCUGACUGGUAAUGAUUUCAGUAUCAGGAUGUCCUUUGUCUGUUGAAGAGGGGACAAAGACUACGUCUAUACUAGUAAACUAAACAUAGCCAGAGCCUGGGCUUGCACACUGUCCCGUGAUGGUGCAAGUUAUUCAGUUGUUGACACAUUCCCUGGCAUAGCUCUGGCCCAUGCUGGCUAGCAUGGUCUCACAUAAUGCUAAAACAUAGUGUGGGGGCUGGGAGUCUGGGGACUUUCCCAGUGAGCAGUGUAACUGUCCAUUUCAUUCUUGAUAAAACCUAGCAAUGUCUGUAGAAUCUUAACUACACUCUACAAAUGUUCUGCAUGGCCGAGUAACACCUGGUGACAUAGUAUUCCUCUUACUGACAUUCACUAGAAUAUACAUGCAACUGCAGAAAAUAUCCAUUUUUUAAAAAUUCACAUUUGAACCAAACUAUAUCUUUCAUAAGCAGAAGCUCACCAUAAAAUUAAAAAUGUUGUUAGAAAUAGAGAAGACAACACGGGAGUUAGUUAUAAUUUUUAGGUCCAAGGACCCAUGAAUGUAUAUGCAUGUGAAUUUGAGUAGGGAUUCCUAUCUAGCAAUAGUUCUACUGAAUUGCACAGUGAAGGCUGGAUGGGACAGUGAAGGCAAUGGUCUUCCUCUCACCAAGAACUUUGAAGAACUCAAUUGAUUUCUGUCUUGAAUCACAAGUUACAAAAUCGCCAACAGUUUCACAAAAAAACUUUUCACACACAUAAAAAAUUGUUGAUCUAAAAAGUGUGAUUUGAGAUGGAACAGAAAAUAAGAGAUGAGCUGUCAGCAGAUUUAAACAGAGAUUUAUGUGGGAAGAAGUAAUGAUACACUGGAAGGAUUUGGGGGAAAAUGACAGAUAAGAAAACUGAAAAGGACAAGAGUUAGUUAAAUUAAUCAUAUCACUCUUAUCAUUUCCAUUUCAGUUUUCAGCUAAGGGCAGGCUUGCUAGCCAUUAUUGCUUUGCCAUAUAAAACACAGUCCAGGCUACUGAUAAAUGUCAAGCUCUUCAAUUCUUCCACCUAUUACUGUCUAAAGCACUUUAAAGGCUAUUGCAGCUCUCUCAAAUAUUUAUAAAGAGACAGUUUUGGAAAGCAGACAGCUACUUUGCCAUAUGUCUGAAUUGCUGUUCCUCAAUGUGUUUUUGAAGAGUAAUGACAACUCUUAAUAUUUUUAAGGACAAUUUAAAGGGACCCUCCUCAUUGACAUUUAGUCCACAACUUAAGUUUUGCAAAAAAAUGACUAAAGGAUCAUUUUUAAUGUUUGGGCACAUGAUUUAUUUUAUCAAGCACAUUCCCUUCUACUUUCAAGUACUGUAAAGCAACUGUGUGGCAAGCAAGAGCAACCGGCUAACAUAAGACAAAAAAAUGCAAACUAAACAUACACAUUUGGGAAAUCCCUUCCUGUUCUGCUGUGACAAUGUGGGAUUACCAAGCUCCAGGCUUGGCAUUUCUUUCCCGUGACAGACACUAAAAGAAACUGUUCCAUAGUAAUCCAAGCCUCUCUCUCUCGAUAGCACUCCUCUGAACUUGAAGACUGCAUUGACAUAUAAGCAUCUGUAAUGAACAGCAGAAAUCAGUCCCUUAAUUUAAUGUAUGUGUUUAAAUUUAAAAAACAAUAAUAACCCUCCAUAACCUUCAUGAAAUAGGUAAAAAUGAGUUAGAAAAAUCAUGCAGAUUAGUAGGCAGUCACAGGAAUGUCUGGAAAUAAAGAACAGAAGGCAUUUGUAAGGGUGUCUGGACCGACUUCAUGCAACAGAUGGUACUUGGUAGGAGCACUUGCAUUUCAAUUUCACUUCUGCACGCUGCUUGUUUUGUAUUAGGGAAGCAAAAUCUCACAUGUGGCUGUAAAAUUUCUUCAAAUGUAAUUUUUCAUGAGUUUUAUUUAGGAGAUUAAUGUUCAGGAUUUUAAAAAAAAAUAUUGUUAUCCUUUUAUUUAUUUCUUCUUCAUCCUCAUUUUCAUUUCCCCCCCACUCUGCCAAUACAUGCAAUAAAAGAUGUGAUGUCCAGUAUUUUGAUUUUACAUAUAUCUUUAGUUGUGUUCAUUUCUGAUAUGUUCUUCUAUUUACUUACAUAUAAAAGGAAAACUAGAACUCUCUACUUUGUCAGUCAGCAGACUUUUAACAUACAGUGUUAGUUCCCUUGGGAUCAAAAGGCCCUACUUUCUACCCACGACUAAGGAAAUUUUGCAGCAUGCCCACAAGAUCAAGAAACAAUCAAUAGUACUGAGCAGAGUUUUAGCAGAACUUUUUACAACAAAAAUGACCUUUUUUUGCUUCCGACCUAUUUUGUGCUUCUGUAGCACAGCUGUAUCCCCUCUGCAUUCCCAGGGUUUUUUGACGCGGUCUCUGGAUGCUCACAAAUGCCAUAAUACUGCCAUCAUGUCAUGUUGGUGGUGGUAUAGCAUCAGGGCCUCUUACCAGCUUGCUUCCUACAAUAAUUUAUAUCUAAACUCCUGAAAUAAAAACACAGAAUGAAAAUAUCAGCAUUCUGGAAAUCUGAAACCAGCUGUUGUAGGAAGGUAUAAAGUAUUUUUCUGACCUGUUUAAUGUGAGUUUUAUUUACUGGAGAGUCAUCAUCACAGAUACAGCAUAAUCCCAUGUUGCUGUUUGUUCAUGCUAGAGACACAUUAUUUCAGUAACUGUUUUGGAAGUGAUCAAGAAACCUGGUAAUAAACAUUCUUCUACUGGCCUUUAUACAGUAAGUUUUUCAUGUUUCCAGUUGUCUCCUUUAUGCUUGCAGUAAAAUAUGCCUACUGUGUGGUAUGUGUACUGACAGCUGACCAGUCCACUAAGAUUGGCUCAUAUUCAAAGUGCUGACCAGUCUCAGGUGGCUUUUGCACUGGGCCAGUUACGGGGAGACAUUCUCUGACUUUUGCAGGGAGGAUUUUAUCUUGAUAAUACGUUUUCCAACACAGUUGGACUUCUGAAGUAUGUUCUGCAUUUCCUUUAACAGCAAUCAAGCAGAAACAUGACCAAGCUGAACAUGAUCCCACUCCACCAGACUCACGAGUAUAGCAUCAGUAGGUUAAAUGAACGGCAGUACUGGAAAGAAAAAUGUGACAAGUCAGCUGGAAGAGCAAAGUUGGAGAGAGCAGGAAAAAGUGAGGGUAAUAAACAAGAAUCGGGUAUGAGGAGAAGCACUGCAGGGUACAGAGAAGUAGAAGAACCCUGCCCUAAAGAGCAGCCAAACUGAAGUCCAUUCUUCUAUGCACAAUAACUGGACUUUGUCAAACAUUUUAGUGGCUGGGUUAUGCCACAAGUCCAUAUGAAUAAAUUCAGCCUUAUCAAUAAAAACACUCUAAAUUCACAUGUAAAGCAAAUUCCUGAUUCAAAAUUAAGCAAGCACAGAAGAAUCUGAAUAUUCUCUCAUACUUAAAUAUAUCUUACCAAAGAAAAUAAAAAUCACAGUAGAGAACAUAGUGGGGAGAAGGAAGGAGGAAACAUACAUACUGUGGCCUUUACUCUCUGGGAUGCCACAGUAAUCUAAUCUGGUAGCAGGACUGGUUGUGAAUGGUCUAUUUUCAUUCUCAUCAGGAUUCCUGCAGUAGUUUUCUUCAAACCCCCAUGAGUAAAAUUUUCAUGUGUAAAGGCGUAAUAGAAAGAAAAAUAACAUUACAGAAGAGCUUUUUUUUUUUUUUUCCAAAUAUUUGUGGCUCAGUUCAUGCAACAUGAGAGCCAAGAAAUGGACAUUUGUCUUGUGGAUCUGAUAUCUCUGCUUGAAUAUUUUUCCAUAAGAUAAACUGUCAUAAAAAGUCUCUCUAUCACCACUGGAAUGCCCUGAAGAACCAUCAGCCUCAUGUCCCCAGCUUACAGAAAAUUCAAGUGUCUCAAAGGUCAAGUACUCCUCUGUAUUUUCAAGCAGCUGAUCUAUUUGACUUUUAUUGUUAUGUCUAUUGUUUCUAACUUACAAGGUUUAGAAGAGGUUCAUACAAAGAAAUGUGACAUUUUCUUCAGAAGACACAGAGAAAGGACACUGGAUAAACAACGGAGGGUUUCCAGUAACACAAAUGUCAUAUCUUUAUGAAUCUAGCUGAAGAGCAGAUAGACCUCACAUGCUUCUCAUACAGUAACAAUAACAUAUUAGCAGUGACGAGGCUUAUCAAUAUAACAGCAUUAUUUCAGUUUCAUUCUUCACAUACUAUCUCUUACCUAAACAACAAAAUCCUGGCCCCAAUUAAGGAUGAAAUAUUCAUUAUGUUAUUUUUUUCUAAGUGAGUGUUUUGCUUGAACAAGAACUACAAAAACUGGAAGCAUAUGAUGCCAUUCUAAUCAAAAUGGGACAAAUUACACAGUGUCUUAAAGGCAUAUCUGUCUUGCUUAUUUUUGUGGCAAGAGAUUAAAGUCAGAGUGAGAGAGAUGUAAAGGAAAUUAUUCAUUAUAAGUUAACCUCAGCAAUAAUUAACUAUCUUCAAUAACCUAUAGUAUAGAAUUGCUUAAAGCACACUAUUAAUGGAUAAUUCGAAAGGAUCAUUCAUAAUUUUUAGACAAAUAAUUGAUAUGUGGAGUGUGCUACCUGCCCACUUCUGGCAUGGAAUCCCCUUCUGAGUUAAGUAUUUUAUUCCUCUGUAAUCCUCCUCCAUUCUUUUCUUGCACUCUGGAAGGUAAAUUGAAACAAAUACACUGCUGAUGAAUCAAUAUCACCUUACGUCUUACCUAACUGACAUUCCGCACUAGUUAUAACAUAUUUAGCAAAUUUCAAACCUCAGUCCUACACAAACAUGCAUUUUAUUCCACUAUCAUCAAUAAAAAUUUAGAGAUACUAAGAGUACUUGUACAAGGAAACUCAUUAAAGGUGUCCUGCUAAAGGAAAGCCCUGCUGAAACUGAGGGGGCAUCAUAUGAGGAGCAAUAGGCCAUUUUGUGCUCCUGCUACAGUUUCUGACACUGUGUGACUUUAUCUCCAGCUUCCCAUGUAGUAUUUGCAUUAAAAUGUUAUUUCUGUCAUUUCAUUCUUCUGGGAGUGAUAUAGGGUAGUGUUGCUGGAAUCGGUAAUGAGGAGCAUAGGAGAAGGCAGGGCAAAGACAGAGCUUUCAGCAGUACAGAGCAUUCCCUCCAAAGACAAAUAUUAGCUUAGUGCAUGGAAGAGGGGUUUUCCUUAUCAGUGCCCCGAGACUUCACAUAAUUUCAUUUUAGAUCUCACUUGCCAUGCCCUUGCAUGUUAGCUCUUUAUCUUGUAAUUGCCUUGUUCACGAAGGAGUCAGGAGGAUAAAUAUAUGCAAAGCUAUGAAUUAAUCAAAUGUGAUAGCAAAGAGGACCUUGGAAAUAAGCAGACAGUAAGACAGAACACUUCUCUAAUACCCCCUUAUAUAAUUAUAAAUCAAUGAAUUUGUGAGCCAUCUGUGACUCUCCAUCUCUAAUCUCAAAUUUCUUGUGUUCUUCAAAAUGGUUCCAGUUCAGCUACUCAUUCAUUUUUGCUCUUAUAGAAAUAUGUGUUCUAGCUGGUUCAAGCUGAACAGAAGAGAAUUUUGGUGGGAAGCAUACUCAAGUGGGAGUGAGACCUAACUGAAUCUCUAAGCAGCAGCAAGAAAAGGAAAUGUGUCUUAAACUGUCUGAUAAGAGCUUCAAAACAAAAAAUUAAAAACUGAUUUCAAAACAUAAGCAACAUUCAUCCUCAUGGUUUGAAGCCCAUUCUAAGCACAGGAAAAUUGAUCAGUGCAACCAUAAAAAUAAACUGAUCUAUUUGCUUUGUAGACACUUCUCUUAGAAAUUAACUUAGAUUAAUCCAAAAUAUUUAAGAGGCACAAUACCUCAUUACCUGGAAGUAAUAAGGAUGAUCAGAUAAAAUAAUGCUUUCUUAAUAACCCAAUGUACACACAGAACAUGACUGCUAUAUUUUAAUUUUUCGAUAUAUUUAUCAUAUAGUAUUUCUGAAUUACUACAUAAUUGUACAAAAUGUAUUGACAUGCUUGUUACUGUACCUUAAAAAUGCAGCUACAACAAUCAAAUAGGCCUAUCUAAUGCCUAAAUGAAAAUAUUUAUUAUUAUGAAAAUAAAUAUCAAACA